GCUGGCAUAGCUCAGUUGGUAGAGCAGCUGAUUUGUAAUCAGCAGGUCACCAGUUCGAGUCUGGUUGCCAGCU
rnacentral:tRNA from 1 species